rnacentral:rRNA from 1 species
UACGUAGGGGGCCAGCGUUGGCUCGGAAUUACUGGGCGUAAAGGGUCCGUAGGCGGUGUAGCAAGUCGAUAGUGAAAUCUCUGGGCUUAACCCAGAGGCUGCUAACGAAACUGCUGUGCUAGAGUGUGAGAGAGGCGAGUGGAAUUACGGGUGUAGCGGUGAAAUGCGUUGAGAUCCAGAGGAACUCCGGUGGCGAAGGCGGCAUGCUGGACCUUUUCUGACGCUGAGGCACGAAAGCCAGGGGAGCGAA